rnacentral:misc_RNA from 1 species
UCCCUCUUGUUUCUUCACUCACUUCAAUUUCUCUUGCUUUUUCUCCAUCAUCACUCUCGCUGAUAUGGCUCUUGAAGCUCUGAAUUCCCCAUCUUCUCUGUUGCAUAAUGAUAUAGACCUUCAUCCCCAUGAACCUUGGGUUAAGAGAAAACGAACUAAGCGUUCACGCUUGGAAUUGGAAGAUUCCCAUACUGAGGAGGAAUACUUAGCUCUCUGCCUUCUCAUGCU